GCCCGGGGAAGAGAGGUGGAGGGCGGGCGUGGAGAGCCCGGAGCCCCGGCAUGGAGCUCCGGAGGGCCGGGGAUGGAGAGCCCGGAGCCCGGGGAAGUGAUGUGGAGGGCGGGCAUGGAGAGUCUGGAGCCCCGGGAAGAGAGCGCGGAGGCCGGGCAUGGAGAGCACGGAGACCGCGGUGGAGAUCCGGAGGGCCGGGGGUGGAGAGCCCCGAGCCCGGGGAAGAGAGCCCGGAGGCCGGGCAUGGAGAGCACGGAGGCCGGGGAUGGAGCUCCGGGGGGCCGGGGAUGGACAGCCCGGAGCCCGGGGAAGUGAUGUGGAGGGCGGGCGUGGAGAGCCCGGAGCCCGGGGAAGAGAGCUGGAGGGCGGGCGUGGAGAGCCCGGAGGCCGGGGUGGAGCUCCGGAGGGCCGGGGAUGGAGAGCCCGGAGCACGGGGAAGUGGUGUGGAGGGCGGGCGUGGAGAGCCCCGAGGCCGGGCAUGGAGCUCCGGAGGGCCGGGGAUGGAGAGCCUGGAGCCCGGGGAAGAGAGCCCGGUGGCCGGGCAUGGAGAGCCCGGAGACCGCGGUGGAGAUCCGGUGGAUGAGGAGAUGAUGAGAUGAGAAAGGAGUAGCAGAAGAAGAGAGGAAGAGGAAAAAUUAAAAAACCCGAAGAGAAAUCCCUCCUCUGCAGAGCCAAAGUCCCGUCACCUUACCAGGGGCGCCGGUCCGUGUACCCAAAAGCGCCAAACGUAGGCUCUAGUCGCCGGAUUACUAUGGGCUAGCUGCCACUAGCCUUGAGCUAGGGUGAAAGGGACAGCGGGUCGCUGCGCCGAUCAAGGCCGAGCUAAAGUGGCCCUUUCCCGGACACAUUUUGCUCACCACCCGGCCCCCCUCCCGGAGGUCCAACACUCUGUCAUAUUCACGGGGGAAGCCUCCGGCGGCUGCGGCACGGCCGGGAGGGUACCUCCCAGGGGGUAUUUCGUCCCAAAUCCC